CCUACGGGAGGCAGCAGUGAGGAAUAUUGGUCAAUGGACGCAAGUCUGAACCAGCCAUGCCGCGUGCAGGAAGACGGCUCUAUGAGUUGUAAACUGCUUUUGUACGAGGGUAAACGCAGAUACGCGUAUCUGUCUGAAAGUAUCGUACGAAUAAGGAUCGGCUAACUCCGUGCCAGCAGCCGCGGUAAUACGGAGGAUUCAAGCGUUAUCCGGAUUUAUUGGGUUUAAAGGGUGCGUAGGCGGAUUUUUAAGUCAGCGGUAAAAUGUCCGGGCUCAACCCGGGCCGGCCGUUGAAACUGGGGAUCUUGAGUGGGCGAGAAGUAUGCGGAAUGCGUGGUGUAGCGGUGAAAUGCAUAGAUAUCACGCAGAACUCCGAUUGCGAAGGCAGCAUACCGGCGCCCGACUGACGCUGAGGCACGAAAGCGUGGGGAUCGAACAGGAUUAGAUACCCUAGUAGUC
rnacentral:rRNA from 1 species